rnacentral:misc_RNA from 1 species
GCGAGACAGCGGUUAAUAAAAAGCCACGCUGGUGAUAUGAAAUGACAUUUGAAAAGCCAGGCUUCUCGUGUCGUGGGAAUGAUAGAGCACAAAAGGUUUAGAUAAAAUGAAAACGUUUAAACACGAUAAUGAGGUUAGGUAGCCUAGCUUAAACUGUUUAACGUUCAAAAUGUCCAUCGUCGAAUGUAUUCUCAAGGAGAAUAAAAUUAAGUCCAGACACGUGUACGGCUUUUUCUCGUCGAAAAAUCCCAGAGAAUUAGACACGGGAACGUGACUGGUCCAUGUCGUUGGCCCUAGCUGAAAGUUCGUCUAUCAAGUAUGCGAUACAUGCGAAUAAAUGCUGCUUAAUCAAAUUAUACGUUCGUCUGUAUAAAUGAAUUCGUCUAGCGUUCCUUUAACCUUCUACGAUAUAUAUUAAGUCUACAAUGUAUUGAGUUACGUAGGUUCUCUUGUGAUUUUUAAUGAAACAUUCUUCUUCACUUGUCGAAAUCGUAUGG